GAUGAACGCUGGCGGCGUGCCUAAUACAUGCAAGUCGAGCGACGCGUGGACGGGUGUGUAACACGUGGCUAACCUCCUCUAAUACUGGUAUAACUUCGGGAAACCGGCGCUCAACCGGCUACUUAUCGCUUGAUCCGCGCUGCAUUAGCUAGUUGGUAAGGUAACGGCGUACCAAGGCAACGAUGCAUAGCCGACCUGAGAGGGUGAGCGGCCACACUGGAACUGAGACACGGGCCAGACUCCUACGGGAGGCAGAAGUAGGGAAUCUUGCGCAAUGGGCGAAAGCCUGACGGAGCAAUGCCGCGUGAGUGAUGAAGGUCUUCGGAUCGUAAAACUCGGGUAGUAGGGAAGCGGUACCUAAUCAGAAAGCCACGGCUAACUACGUGCCAGCAGCCGCGGUAAUAC
rnacentral:rRNA from 1 species